rnacentral:rRNA from 1 species
GACGAACGCUGGCUACAGGCUUAACACAUGCAAGUCGAGGGGUAACGAGAGGAAAGCUUGCUUUCCUUGUCGACGACCGGCGCACGGGUGAGUAACGCGUAUCCAACCUGCCCCCAACUAGGGAAUAACCUUGCGAAAGUAAGACUAAUACCCUAUAAUUUCCUCAGAUGUCAUCUGACGAGGAAUAAAGAUUUAUCGGUUGUGGAUGGGGAUGCGUCUGAUUAGCUUGUUGGCGGGGUAACGGCCCACCAAGGCAACGAUCAGUAGGGGUUCUGAGAGGAAGGUCCCCCACAUUGGAACUGAGCCACGGUCCAAACUCCUACGGGAGGCAGCAGUGAGGAAUAUUGGUCAAUGGGCGGAAGCCUGAACCAGCCAAGUAGCGUGCAGGAUGACGGCCCUAUGGGUUGUAAACUGCUUUUAUACAGGAAUAAAGUUAGCCACGUGUGGUUAUUUGUAGGUACUGUAUGAAUAAGGACCGGCUAAUUCCGUGCCAGCCGCCGCCGUAG